rnacentral:ncRNA from 1 species
GAGAGCCCGGUGCCUGGUAACAGGCACGCCGGGUUCGGGAAGCGGCCCGGAGAAACCCACCGGUGGAAACACCGGCAGGGCGCUCCGGGCCGACUUCGC